rnacentral:snRNA from 1 species
ACGUGUGUGGGCAAUCUGGUUGUGACUUGGGUCACUUUGUGGACCUCCAGCUGAUCUGGCUGCAUAGUUGCCCCUUCCUCCUCACAGCUGCUUGUGUGUCCCUCCCCAAGCUCUGCGGAAGAGAUAGACCUUCCCCAGUGGAGGAGACAGGGCCAUUCUCUGCUCCAGAGCAGGGGGACAGCAACACCCCCUUGCCAGGCACUCUAAGCCAGCAGACAUGAAUGGUCAGCCUGCCUUUCAAAGAAGGAAAAACACAGAGACCAUAGCCUUACCUGUUGGGCAGUUUGGU